rnacentral:rRNA from 1 species
AUUGAACGCUGGCGGCAGGCCUAACACAUGCAAGUCGAGCGGAUGAAGGGAGCUUGCUCCUGGAUUCAGCGGCGGACGGGUGAGUAAUGCCUAGGAGUCUGCCUGGUAGUGGGGGAUAACGUCCGGAAACGGGCGCUAAUACCGCAUACGUCCUGAUGGAGAAAGUGGGGGAUCUUCGGACCUCACGCUAUCAGAUGAGCCUAGGUCGGAUUAGCUAGUUGGUGGGGUAAAGGCCUACCAAGGCGACGAUCCGUAACUGGUCUGAGAGGAUGAUCAGUCACACUGGAACUGAGACACGGUCCAGACUCCUACGGGAGGCAGCAGUGGGGAAUAUUGGACAAUGGGCGAAAGCCUGAUCCAGCCAUGCCGCGUGUGUGAAGAAGGUCUUCGGAUUGUAAAGCACUUUAAGUUGGGAGGAAGGGCAGUAAGUUAAUACCUUGCUGUUUUGACGUUACCAACAGAAUAAGCACCGGCUAACUUCGUG